rnacentral:tRNA from 1 species
UCCCUGGUGGCUCAGAUGGUAAAGCAUCUGCUCGCAGUGCGGGAGACCCAGGUUCAAUCCCUGGAUUGGGAA